rnacentral:misc_RNA from 1 species
AUUUGAUAGAAUUGUAUAUAUGAACGUAAAUAGUAGCCUUUUGUUUCACUUGCCCCCCUUUUUCUCCUCUCUUCCUCUCCUCUUCAGCUCUAUUUACGGUUUUUAAAUAUCUUUUGUUGUAGAAUCAUAUAUUGUCAUUAUGUAGAAUUUUUAAAGGCCAAAAAAGAAGUGUUUUAUGGCUUAAUACUUUGCUCCAUUUAAUGGUUCUCUGGUGGCAUUGUGGGCAAUAGUAGUAAUCCAAAUAAAUCAAGCCUAGUCAUGAUACAGCUGGAACUGAGAUGUACAGUUGUUUGUAAAUUUCCUGCAAUUUUACAUAUUAUUUUCUGCUGGAAUUUCAUCACCUGAAAUCAUUGUAAGGUGCAAGCCCCAGUGCCAUACUGACUGCAAAUUGUUCGGUAGAAUGAUGUUUCUUUAUGGUUUUUUCCUUCUCCAGUGGCCUCUUGGGCUGCCAUCUAUGUGGUUCUCAACACUUACCUUUUGGUUGCUGUUGUCGACCUUAUCUGGAUGUUUAAUCCCAGAGUUUUUAUAUGCUUUCGUCCAAAACCAAGUCUAAAAGGAUAAAACUUUUCUUGGAUAUCUAAGAGAGGAGAG